rnacentral:misc_RNA from 1 species
CUUUUCCAAGACCGCGAAUGCUUUUCGUCGGGAGUUCUCUUCUGCGUAUGCCGCUGGCGUUACAAAGACUCCUUUGUCAAGAGACUCCUCAUCGAAUCCGGACGGCACGACGACAGGCUCUAAACCUAGUAGACGCAAGAUCUCUCUCCUUCGUGGCGAUUGACUCGCUAGCAAGAUAGUUUUCUUCCGCAAGUACUCCAGUUUAUGCAAGAUCAUGCCCACGCGCCUACAGUCGCUCACCUUUCCAAGAACGUGCAAAGGAGGUUCUUUGCAGCUCGCUGCGUACGGCUCAAGGGCACUGCCAGCUGCAACAGCACUGGGAUGCUGGCGCUACCGCUCCGUCGACGUGGAAUGUACUUGUUUGUACGCUUUCGAGCUCGCUGCUAACGCAAGACCCUCGUUUUGGAGGCCUUCAUCGAUACGUAAAUGGAAGCUGGGAGCCAGCAAUGGUCGCAGAGCCAGCCGGCUGCUCUCGCAGAAGCGCUGUCCCGGCUAGAAACUCGCGGUGAGCUGGUUACAGAAGACAUCUUGAGCGCUUUCUGCUUCCUGCCCAGAGUGGCGCGUGCCUUAGAGCUUGCACUCGACACCCUGCACGUAGACACCGUACCGGAGUUGGAACUUGCUCGUGAACAAUCUGGUAGAGAACCCUCGGAUGGAGACGAACGUGCAGAUGACGCUGCUUCUUGGCAGCAACGUGCUGACGAGGUCAGCGCUCUGAUGCUGCGGGAAAAGCGUCGGGAGUUGGAGCGACUGAAGGAUGCGCUUCUGCUCGAAUAUUUUCCGAGAAUGAAGAAAGUUGUAAGCUCCUGUUUCGGGGGCAGCGAACUCUCAGAACUACGCCUGCAGGAUAGCAUAGCUAGCCUCGAGCAGCGGCUUGCUGAACUACGCGCUGAGCGUCUCAUUCUCAUGCAAGAGAUGCAUGCAGUCAGGGACCCACAGCCCGAAAUCCAGUGUGCUCUGAUGGAUGCAGGAGAUAACCCUCCGGCAACAAAACUAGCGAAAUACCCCAGACACUGAGCGAUACGCUGACGGAGCUAGCACCAACGCCUCCGACAUUGCAACGAUCCAUUGGAGUGUUGUGACAGAAGGCGGAACCCCGCGCUACUGGACACCCAGUAGCUGCCGGGUACAGUGCCUCAAAUUAUCCGCCUCUGCGAAUACUUCCGCGACUGUGACGAUGCAUCCUUGAAUAGGUGAGGUCCAGGAACGCCAAACUGAGCAGUGCAUGCGCACGAUACCACUUCUUCGUGGCUAACCUCUCGGAGGUUGCAAGUAAGGCAGAGGACCGCAAUUGACGGACACACAAAAUAAUGACAUCGAUAUACACAAGGCAUACUGCUAAGCGGUCGCCUCUAUGCACCGCGAGAUGAGGAACCUCUCGUGCAUGUAUGUAGAGUUUGCAGUGCUGAAAGCAUGCGACAAUGUGCAUGCCUGCAUAUAUAGCUCAAAGUGAAUCUUCCAGGCAUGUAAAAGCAUGCGACAAUGUGCAUGCCUGCAUAUUCUGCACAAACAGAUCCGUUUAGAAUGACGGUGGAGAACGGCUGCGGGGAGCAUUUGCAUCGGCUACGGGAAGGCGCCCAAACACCUUGAGGGAGCAGCAGUCUUGUCGGCGAAGCGUUGCCCUGACGGUUGCAUACACGUUCCCUGAGUAAUACUCGUACGUGCUCUAGCGACGCUAACGGCUAUCGGCGCUCGCCCAGGGCACCACGAACCGAAGAGCGAACCUAUGGACAGAGGACCCGUUACGCAAAGCGAACAUCAAGCAGAGCGCCCUUGAAGCGGCGCACCACGACAGCGCCAGCCACGCGAGCCCCACACGCUAGGUUCGGUUCCCCAACACCUCUGAAAAAUAGUUGCAAGCCAUGUCAGCAUUCGGGUAACGAGACACGCCCGAACCCGUGAGCAGCUACCCGCUAUGUGUUUUCCACGCGUGGUCAGUGUAGAGCUCCCAGUACCGAACACCUUAUUGUGUGUUUUUGAUCCGGUUCUGGUGAUACUUGUACCCUAAACGGCUCCAUAAAGUCUCUUCAUUAAAUGGUGGAACUCAAAAGC